rnacentral:rRNA from 1 species
UACGUAGGGCGCGAGCGUUGUCCGGAUUUAUUGGGCGUAAAGAGCUCGUAGGCGGCUUGUCGCGUCGAAUGUGAAAUCUCAGGGCUCAACUCUGACAUUGCAUUCGAUACGGGCAGGCUAGAGUUCGGUAGGGGAGACUGGAAUUCCUGGUGUAGCGGUGAAAUGCGCAGAUAUCAGGAGGAACACCGGUGGCGAAGGCGGCCAUCUGGGAGGGCACUGACGCUGAGACGCGAAAGCGUGGGGAGCAAACAGG